rnacentral:rRNA from 1 species
CCUACGGGGGGCAGCAGUGGGGAAUAUUGCACAAUGGGGGGAACCCUGAUGCAGCGACGCCGCGUGGGUGAGGAAGUACUUCGGUAUGUAAAGCCCUAUCAGCAGGGAAGAAAAUGACGGUACCUGACUAAGAAGCCCCGGCUAACUACGUGCCAGCAGCCGCGGCAAUACGUAGGGGGCGAGCGGUAUCCGGAUUUACGGGGUGGAAAGGGAGCGUAGACGGCGUGUCAAGGCAGAUGUGAAAGGCCUGGGCGCAACCCCGGGACUGCAUUGGAAACUGGGAGGCUGGAGUAACGGAGUGGGAAGCGGAAUUCCUGGUGUAGCGGUGAAAUGCGUAGAUAUUAGGAGGAACACCGGUGGCGAAGGCGGCUUGCUGGACGGUAACUGACGUUGAGGCACGAAAGCGUGGGGAGCAAACAGGAUUAGAUACCCGUGUAGUG